rnacentral:rRNA from 1 species
CGCGUAGGUGGGCGUUUAAGUCGGAUGUGAAAGCCCCGGGCUUAACUUGGAAUUGCAUUCGAGACUGAAUGUCUUGAGUAUAGUAGAGGAAAGUGGAAUUUCCGGUGUAGCGGUGAAAUGCGUAGAUAUCGGAAGGAACACCAGUGGCGAAGGCGGCUUUCUGGACUAAUACUGACACUGAGGUGCGAAAGCGUGGGGAGCAAACA